rnacentral:rRNA from 2 species
AAGCAUAUCACUAAGCGGAGGAAAAGAAACUAACUAGGAUUCCCCCAGUAACUGCGAGUGAAGAGGGAAGAGCUCAUCAUUGGAAUCUGGCAGUGUUGCACUGUCCGAGUUGUAGAUGAGGAGUAGUCCGUCUGGACUGCAUGGCGUCCAAGUACAAUAGGCCGUCAGUGGGACAUCAUAGAGGGUGACAAUCCCGUCCUUGACGCUAAUGUGCAAGUCUAUUACGAUGGCUAUCUCAGAGAGUCGAGCAGUUUGGGAUUUGCUGCUUAAACAUGGGAGGUAGAUUCCUUCUAAAGCUAAAUACAGGCGAGAGACCGAUAGAGAACAAGUACCGCAAGGGAAAGAUGAAAUAGCACUCUGUGAAGGGAGUCAAAAGGCGUGAAAUUGUUGCGAGAGAAGCGAUUCAAGUCAGCGUAGCUAGGCCCAUCAAGCGUCUUCGCUUUGGACUAGCUUUGCCAGCGGUCUUGUCCCUUAAAGAGACUUGACUUGUAAUAUGUCCAGCCUGGCGUGCACAGGCAGCCCCUUCUGGGGGCCAGUGGCAUGGCUGGUGGAAUGGCUUGCAAUCGACCCGUCUUGAAACACGGACCAAGGAGUCUAACAUGUAUGCGAGUAUAAGGGUGGCAAACCCGUAUGCGCAAUGAAAGUGAUUUUCGGUGAUUGAGAAUGGCCUGAUGACCAGACAAGCAAUACAUGUCCCUCGUACGGCCAUUGCCCAAGUUCCGUGGUAGAUCCCACGAACAUGGAGUUGGAGCAUACAUGCUAGGACCCGAAAGAUGGUGAACUAUGCCUGGACAAAGCGAAGCCAAAGGAAACUCUGGUGGAGGCUUGUAGCGAUUCUGACGUGCAAAUCGAUCGUCUGAUCUGGGUAUAGGGGCGAAAGACUAAUCGAACCAUCUCAUAGCUGGUUCCUGCC